UACGGAGGGUGCAAGCGUUAAUCGGAAUUACUGGGCGUAAAGCGUGCGUAGGCGGUUAUUUAAGUCAGAUGUGAAAGCCCUGGGCUUAACCUGGGAACUGCAUUUGAUACUGGGUAACUAGAGUUUAGUAGAGGGGAGUGGAAUUUCAGGUGUAGCGGUGAAAUGCGUAGAGAUCUGAAGGAACACCAGUGGCGAAGGCGGCUCCCUGGACUAAAACUGACGCUGAGGUACGAAAGCGUGGGUAGCAAACAGG
rnacentral:rRNA from 1 species